rnacentral:rRNA from 1 species
CAAUAGCGUAUAUUAAAGUUGUUGCAGUUAAAAAGCUCGUAGUUGGAUUUGUGGCGUACGGUGUGUUCCGGGCACUUGUUGUCUGAGUAACCUGCUGUUGCCAUCCUUGGGUGGAACCUGUGUGGCAUUAGGUUGUCGUGCAGGGGAUGCCCAUCAUUUACUGUGAAAAAAUUAGAGUGUUCAAAGCAGGCUUAUGCCGUUGAAUAUAUUAGCAUGGAAUAAUGAGAUAGGACUUUUUUGCUAUUUUGUUGGUUUGCGCAAAGAGGUAAUGAUUAAUAGGGACAGUUGGGGGUAUUCGUAUUCCAUUGUCAGAGGUGAAAUUCUUGGACUUUUGGAAGACGAACUACUGCGAAAGCAUUUACCAAGGAUGUUUUCAUUAA